rnacentral:rRNA from 1 species
GACGAACGCUGGCGGCGUGCUUAACACAUGCAAGUCGAACGAAGUGGCGAACGGGUGAGUAACGCGUAAUCAACCUGCCCUUCAGAGGGGGACAACAGUUGGAAACGACUGCUAAUACCGCAUACAGAAGAAGGGGAUUGCUUCUGUUUUGGUAGUUGGAGGGGUAACGGCCCACCAAGGAGAUGAUCAGCAGCCGUGCUGGAAGGAUGGACCGCCACAUUGGGACUGAGGCACGGCCCCGACUCCUACGGGAGGCAGCAGUGGGGAAUCUUCCGCAAUGGAAGAAAGUCUGACGGUGCAACGCCGCGUGGGUGAUAAAGGCCUUCGGGUUGGAAAGCUCUGUUAAUCGGGACGCAGUACCGGAAUAGAAAGCCACGGCUAACUACGUGCCAGCAGCCGCGGUAAUAC